GACGAACGCUGGCGGCGUGCUUAACACAUGCAAGUCGAACGGUAAGGCCCUUCGGGGUACACGAGUGGCGAACGGGUGAGUAACACGUGGGUGAUCUGCCCUGCACUUCGGGAUAAGCCUGGGAAACUGGGUCUAAUACCGGAUAGGACCACUGCCUGCAUGGGCGGUGGUGGAAAGCUUUUGCGGUGUGGGAUGGGCCCGCGGCCUAUCAGCUUGUUGGUGGGGUGAUGGCCUACCAAGGCGACGACGGGUAGCCGGCCUGAGAGGGUGACCGGCCACACUGGGACUGAGAUACGGCCCAGACGCCUACGGGAGGCAGCAGUGGGGAACAUUGCACAAUGGGCGCAAGCCUGAUGCAGCGACGCCGCGUGAGGGAUGACGGCCUUCGGGUUGUAAACCUCUUUCAGCACCGACGAAGCGCAAGUGACGGUAGGUGCAGAAGAAGGACCGGCCAAUUACGUGCCAGCCGCCGCCGUAA
rnacentral:rRNA from 1 species